rnacentral:tmRNA from 1 species
UAACUUGAAAAUUGUCCUGCAAUAUAGUAUAUAUAUAUUGUUGAGCAAUCAACUAUGACACUAGAGGCACUGUGGAAUAGGGGCUUUGGACCCGGGGGCGGUACCCGGCACCUCCACCAUCUAUUUUUUAUAUGGGGGUGAAACAGGAUUGACAGGGUUUAAUAAAGACAGAUGUUGUGUUCGGCAAGAUACCACCGUUAUCGGUUCAAAAUAAAAUAAAUGCUAACGAUAAUGAAUUAGCACCAGUUGCUUUGGCUGCAUAAUUGUAGUCGCAACGAAUCCAAUUCUUGUUUUUUUGGUUAAAGACAAGUGGGGCAUGAGCCACCCAGCAACAGAACGGCUAUUUU